rnacentral:rRNA from 1 species
UGCAAGUCGAACGAUGAACCGCUUUCGGGCGGGGAUUAGUGGCGAACGGGUGAGUAACACGUGGGCAAUCUGCCCUGCACUCUGGGACAAGCCCUGGAAACGGGGUCUAAUACCGGAUAUGACUGUCCGCCGCAUGGUGGAUGGUGUAAAGCUCCGGCGGUGCAGGAUGAGCCCGCGGCCUAUCAGCUUGUUGGUGAGGUAGUGGCUCACCAAGGCGACGACGGGUAGCCGGCCUGAGAGGGCGACCGGCCACACUGGGACUGAGACACGGCCCAGACUCCUACGGGAGGCAGCAGUGGGGAAUAUUGCACAAUGGGCGAAAGCCUGAUGCAGCGACGCCGCGUGAGGGAUGACGGCCUUCGGGUUGUAAACCUCUUUCAGCAGGGAAGAAGCGAAAGUGACGGUACCUGCAGAAGAAGCGCCGGCUAACUACGUGCCAGCAGCCGCGGUAAUACGUAGGGCGCAAGCGUUGUCCGGAAUUAUUGGGCGUAAAGAGCUCGUAGGCGGCUUGUCACGUCGGUUGUGAAAGCCCGGGGCUUAACCCCGGGUCUGCAGUCGAUACGGGCAGGCUAGAGUUCGGUAGGGGAGAUCGGAAUUCCUGGUGUAGCGGUGAAAUGCGCAGAUAUCAGGAGGAACACCGGUGGCGAAGGCGGAUCUCUGGGCCGAUACUGACGCUGAGGAGCGAAAGCGUGGGGGAGCGAACAGGA